GACGAACGCUGGCGGCGUGCUUAACACAUGCAAGUCGAACGGAAAGGCCCUGCUUUUGUGGGGUGCUCGAGCGGCGAACGGGUGAGUAACACGUGAGUAACCUGCCCUUGACUUUGGGAUAACUUCAGGAAACUGGGGCUAAUACCGGAUAGGAGCUCCUGCUGCAUGGUGGGGGUUGGAAAGUUUCGGCGGUUGGGGAUGGACUCGCGGCUUAUCAGCUUGUUGGUGGGGUAGUGGCUUACCAAGGCUUUGACGGGUAGCCGGCCUGAGAGGGUGACCGGCCACAUUGGGACUGAGAUACGGCCCAGACUCCUACGGGAGGCAGCAGUGGGGAAUAUUGCACAAUGGGCGGAAGCCUGAUGCAGCAACGCCGCGUGCGGGACGACGGCCUUCGGGUUGUAAACCGCUUUCGCCUGUGACGAAGCGUGAGUGACGGUAAUGGGUAAAGAAGCACCGGCUAACUACGUG
rnacentral:rRNA from 1 species